GCUCCCACCGCCCCAGCUGGUGGUGGUCUCGACACCACGCUCGUUGCGGGGUCACACGCCAGAGCUGGAAAGGGGAGGUCCAGCCCCAAGUAAAGCGACAAAAGCUUUCAUUGUUGAGGUUCCUCAGUGCUGAACUAACAAGAGGGUACUUCCUUGAACAUAAUGAGGCCAAGUAUACAGAAAGAAGAGAAAGAGUAUACACUUGUUUGCGAAUACCAAGAGAAUUGGAAAAGCUGAUGGUUUUUGGAAUCUUUCUGUGCCUGGAUGCGUUUUUGUAUGUGUUCACCCUGCUUCCUUUAAGAGUUUUCCUGGCACUAUUCAGGCUCCUCACUUUGCCUUGCUAUGGCUUAAGGGACAGACGUUUGCUUCAGCCUGCCCAGGUGUGUGACAUUUUGAAGGGUGUCAUUUUGGUAAUCUGCUAUUUUAUGAUGCACUAUGUUGACUACUCCAUGAUGUACCACCUGAUAAGGGGGCAGUCCGUCAUCAAGCUCUACAUCAUCUACAACAUGCUGGAGGUAGCUGAUCGUCUGUUUUCAUCUUUUGGACAAGACAUAUUAGAUGCCCUCUAUUGGACAGCAACAGAGCCUAAAGAAAGAAAAAGAGCCCACAUUGGGGUGAUUCCUCACUUUUUCAUGGCUGUUCUCUAUGUCUUUUUGCAUGCAAUUCUUAUAAUGGUUCAAGCAACAACUCUCAAUGUAGCUUUUAACUCACACAACAAGUCUUUGCUUACUAUCAUGAUGUCUAAUAAU
rnacentral:sRNA from 1 species